GAUGAGCAUGCGUCCCAUUAGCUAGUUGGUAAGGUAACGGCUUACCAAGGCAACGAUGGGUAGGGGUCCUGAGAGGGAGAUCCCCCACACUGGUACUGAGACACGGACCAGACUCCUACGGGAGGCAGCAGUGAGGAAUAUUGGACAAUGGGCGCAAGCCUGAUCCAGCCAUGCCGCGUGCAGGAUGACGGUCCUAUGGAUUGUAAACUGCUUUUAUACGAGAAGAAACACUCCUUCGUGAAGGAGCUUGACGGUAUCGUAAGAAUAAGGAUCGGCUAACUCCGUGCCAGCAGCCGCGGUAAUACGGAGGAUCCAAGCGUUAUCCGGAAUCAUUGGGUUUAAAGGGUCCGUAGGCGGUUUAAUAAGUCAGUGGUGAAAGCCCAUCGCUCAACGGUGGAACGGCCAUUGAUACUGUUAGACUUGAAUUAUUAGGAAGUAACUAGAAUAUGUAGUGUAGCGGUGAAAUGCUU
rnacentral:rRNA from 1 species